GCCAUGGUAGAUCAACGGUAGAUCGUCUUCACAAUAUUACAAGUACUCGAGGUUAAUGAGAAAACUACGGUUCGACUCCGUGUCAUGACC